CCUGGUGGAACAACCACAACAUCAGACACCAUGCCACCAAUACCUGGAGGAACAACCACAACAUCAGACACCAUGCCACCAAUACCUGGAGGAACAACCACAACAUCAGACACCAUUUCAACAAUACUGUACAUACAAAGACAUGGGACUGCAACACACUACCAUUAUAUCUCUUACAGCGGUGUCACGUUAAGCAGGCAGCAACGGACUGAAUGCAGAUAGAAAGGCAACGAAUAGAGCAGAAGUGAUUUGUUAUUCUAUGAGGGGGGAGAAACUGAAUUGGUUUGUAGUGUAGAUUAUGUGUGGUGUGUAUUGUGUGUAGGUAGUGUGUUGUGUGUGUAUUGUAUGUAGGUAGCGUGUUACAGGCAAGGCUAUAUGUCUGUGUGAUUUAGUGUCCAUGGUAACCCAGAAUAGACAGAUCACCUUCAUCUUUCUUCUCCUCCUUAGCUCCUCCUCCGAUCAUCUCUCCCACCUUCUCCUUCACCACAACAGCUAGACAGAGGGAGAGAGGGGGGCUGUCAAACAUGCACUCGCACCUUCUGGCUCCACAUGAUGAGAUAAUUGGUGGAUUUUUCUCUUGUUAUGUCUUGUUAGGGAGCUUGUAUCAGCAAGAACUGUCAUGACGGGAUGCCACAGAAUCUUUGUAUAUUUUUCCAUUUCUAGUAGAAAUUAGCUCCUCUACUUUGAAAUCUAGACAAACCCAAAUAACUAAUUUUAGAAGUAUGAGCAGUGCCAAAAAGUACAGAGCCAAGUUUUUCAAAAAUGAAAAUAUUUGGUGUAAGAAUGUUGUUGACUCAUCAACUGCAGCGCCGUUUAAAAUUCCAAAGCCCAGUUUGAACAUUUUGAAGGCUGAUAACACAAAAAUGAACACUAAAUUAAAGCUAAACUAUACAUUAGUCUAUAUAACAACCCAUUUUGCUGUGCUUUAGGGUUUAAACUUAUCAAUGCUUCACAUGAAUGACCCCCAUCAUUCAACCAAGUAAACACACCAUUAUCCACUUUUCUUACACAUAUCUUUUUCUCACCUGCUUUGUCGAUCACUGCAUCCACCUGCUUCCCAGAUCCUUUCAGAAAGUCCAUCUCUGUGUGUGUUCUGUACUCGGCCGGAGUGUGUGUGUGAGAGAGUGUGUUUGGAUGGGUGUGUGGUGUGGGUGUGCAUGGGUUUAUAUGAGGUUGGCAGAGAGGCUUACAGAGGCCACCCCUCCAUCACACACCCCUGUGAAGUCACACACACCCCUAAGGAUGCAGGCCGCUUUUAUUGUUGGUGUCAGUAUGGAAAAACCCAGCAGUGGAACUGUAAAUACCGAAGAGGGAGAGAGGCUUCAUAACUUUAUUACGACCCUCAAUUAAACAUUGUUAGAACAAAUAUGAUAUACAGAUACAUGCAACACAUAGGCACACAACCCUUAUUCAGGUCAUAAUUAUCCAUUAUGUGAAGAUGCACAUAAUAUAGUACAUUAUUACAGAUGUAGGAUCUUAAUUUGAUCGCCCUGUUGCAGGAGAACUUUGCUGCAAUGCAGGGCAUUUUUUACCUGUAGUGUACUUGAGGUUUGAAAACGCUUCUGAAGUUUGUAAUUUCCACUUAGAAAUUUCAGUCUUGAUUUCCCCAUUGUCGUUAAUUAUAAUAAUCCACAUAAUAAUUCACCUUUCUUUUGGACUUUGUAGCAUUCCCAGAAAGCAUGGAUUAGUGAGUCAAUGCUAUAAAGUCCAAAAGUUAUGGGUGGAGCUAGAAAGUUCGCUGUCAGAUGUAUUACAAUGUAAACGUACUUUUAAUCCGUCUGCCUGCAUAUUUUAAGACAUAGCGAAUAGGAGUGUAGUGAGAUUCCCAACGGGCUGGACGAUUCUCUUCUCAUCACUCAUCUAGAAAAAAAACGUAUACUAAUGACCUGGAUAUCAAUCAAUCCUCCAUCAUUAACACAAUAGAAAAAAUCGAAUGAUUUAUUAUUGAAAUAGCAUGGGCAACUGAGAAAAACUAAUUGGGACAAUUUAAGGCCAUAUGGCAAACAAUAAUGCAAGCAGUAGGGAUGGGGGUGUGAGCAUGUGGGUCUGGGCAGAUGAGAUGUAAUCGUUGUUCGUGUGCAUCUGUAAGUUGUUGUUCGUGUGUUUAUGUUUUUAACUGGUUAAUAACAUUUUUUAUAAAAAACAGUAUAGUAAAGUAUAAAAAAUUAUUAUAAUAAUUAUUAUAAUAAUUCACAUUUCCUGUUGCUUCAGGAUUAUUUUCAUGUUGUAGCAAACUGGCUCAAAUUAAGAUCCUACAUCUGUAGAUGUAUGGGAAACAGGAAAUACUGGAUGUGAUGUCCUGAAAGGUCACCAAGCUUUCUGACUCACUGUCAAAACACUGCUAUAAAAGCAGACACAAAGACACAACAUUUGACAUAGCACGCACUCCUUCUUAUGACAGCCCUCUCUCAUUGUGUUGUUGGCCCUAGAUUGCUGCUCUGUGUUUGUGUGGAUUCCUUAGGAGUGUUGGCUGUGUGUGUGUGUCUCCAUUCAACCCUUGGAAAGACACUCCUCUGUUUCAAUGUGUUCUGGCAUUGGAUCAGAGAGUGUGUGUAGAGCAGUUUGGAAAUCUCGUGGUUAGAAUGGAACAUUGGGCUGGUGAUAUGUCGUCCCGAAGGAUCAUUUAAAACACUAAGACUGGGAGUUCUAGAACACUGACGCAAGAGGUUCUAGGUUGACUUUUUGUUUUCUUCCUGACCUCUCUUGAACCCUUUCACAAGUAUCGUCAUUGUGUUGAAGGGAGGACCAAUACGCAGCGGGAAUGUGGAUACUCAUCUUUUUAAUCAAACACGAGAAAAGCAUCCACAGGGAAAAAACAAUAAACAUUACUCACGACGGCAACAGUGUAGCAGGCUAUACAAACGCAGUGCUCACAAACAAUUACCCACAAACACACAGACAAACACACCCUACUAAUAUAGGACUCCCAAUCAAAGGCAACUCAACACACCUGCCUUCAAUUGGGAGUCCCACCCCAAUUAACUAUACAUAGAAAACCAAAGCUAGACAGAACGUAGACACACAUACCAAAACACAAAAACCUCUGCCACGCCCUGACCAAAACUAAUACAAUUACUCCCUCUGCUGGUCAGGACGUGACAACCCCUCUGUCUCCCUGUAAGCUCCCAGCAUGCCGAUGGAGGUAGUGUCCUCAUAGUGUACCUGUAGAGGAGAACAAAGAGCCUGGCUAAACCCCUGUGAGUGCACACGCACGCACGCACGCUCGCACACACAGAAAACAUUGCUAAGACUGGCAGAGGGCAUAGAAAAAUAUCCAGGAUGGUACCACAAUAUCUCCAUGGUAACAUAGGCCAUACAUACUAUUAUAAACUGCAUAAUAAUUAGUCACUCAAAUGGAGAAAUGAAGACGACACGGAAGUUUGGAUUUCAACAAAACCGUCUUUAAUUCACUGGUACUGUUUAUAAAAUCAGCAAGUUCGCUUCGAUGCCAACUUAAACGUGGUGUGGGAGUGUUUAUGUUGUUGUUUGUGUGCUUUAUGAGUGUGUGUGUGUGUGUGUGUGUGUGUGUGUAUGAUGUCUCUGUGGUCCUGUCAUCCUGAAUAGUCAUCACAGCUGUCUGCUGGCUGGAGUUUCCUUUUGGAUUUCAACGUAUUACGGAUGAACGUCUAUUUUUGCCGCAUUAAUUCCGCGGCUUGCUGGAACAUUGUGAUUUGUGGUGGCGUAGUGAUCUGAACCGCACGCUCUGAGCAUCACAAGGUCACGCCCAGAUCUGGUCAAUCCUUCUUCUUCUCUUUCGAUGAGCACCAACGAAGGCAUAUAUCCACACACCUGGAUCACACACACCUGGAUCACACACACCUGGAUCACACACACCUGGAUCACACACACCUGGAUCACACACACCUGGAUCCUUUCACACGUCUGUUUCUCCUGAUCCGGCUGCCAACAUCUGCCGUGUGUGUGUGUGUGUGUGUGUGUGUGUGUGUGUGUGUGUGUGUGUGUGUGUGUGUGUGUGUGUGUGUGUGUGUGUGUGUGUGUGUGUGUGUGUGUGUGUGUGUGUAUGUGUGUGUGUGUGUGUGUGUGUAUGUGUGUGUGUGUGUGUGUGUGUGUGUGUGUGUGUGUGUGUGUGUGUGUGUGUGUGUGUGUGUGUGUGUGUGUGGUGUGCGCAGGUCUCUUGAUAGGGUAUUGGGAGGUGUGAGGGAGAAUAUAACACCAGGGGUAACAACAUGACAGCAACGACACAAAGGCGGGGAGCUACACGGGGCAGAACACAGUGGGGGGGGGGGCAGAAGAGGGUCUCAUGGGGUAUCAGGAGGUGUAUAGGGUUAUCUGGAAGAGUCUGUAUCUGUUUUGGUUCCAUAAAGUCACAAAAAAUAAGUAGAACAUCUGGAAGUCUGGAACAGCAGGGCGAAGGGAGCGAGGGACCAACAGAGGGCUGGGGAGAAGAGGUCCCUGGAAUGACUAAUAGCCACCCUGAGAGCCCUGUGAGUCAGAGAGAGAGAGAUGGGGGGAGGGAGAGAGAGAGGGGG
rnacentral:lncRNA from 1 species